rnacentral:rRNA from 1 species
GACGUAGGGCGCGAGCGUUGUCCGGAUUUAUUGGGCGUAAAGGGCUCGUAGGCGGCCAACUAAGUCAGACGUGAAAUCCCCCGGCUUAACCAGGGAACUGCGUCUGAUACUGGAUGGCUUGAGUUUGGGAGAGGGAUGCGGAAUUCCAGGUGUAGCGGUGAAAUGCGUAGAUAUCUGGAGGAACACCGGUGGCGAAGGCGACAUCCUGGACCAACACUGACGCUGAGUGAGCGAAAGCCAGGGGAGCAAACGGG